rnacentral:rRNA from 1 species
GAACGUACGCUGGCGGCACGCCUAACACAUGCAAGUCGAACGAAGUAGCAAUACUUAGUGGCAGACGGGUGAGUAACAUGUAGGUAUCUGCCCUUUGGCCUGGAAUAACACGAGGAAACUUGUGCUAAUACCGGAUAAGUCUUUACAGAGAAAGCUUUAUGCACCAUUGGAUGAGCCUGCACUUGAUUAGUUUGUUGGUGGGGUAAUGGCCUACCAAGACUGUGAUCAAUAGCUGAUUUGAGAGGAUGAUCAGCCACAUUGGGACUGAGACACGGCCCAAACUCCUACGGGAGGCAGCAGUGGGGAAUCUUGCACAAUGGAGGAAACUCUGAUGCAGCGAUGCCGCGUGAGUGAAGAAGGCCUUUGGGUUGUAAAGCUCUUUCGUCGGGGAAGAAAAUGACUGUACCCGAAUAAGAAGGUCCGGCUAACUUCGUGCCAGCAGCCGCGGUAAUACGAAGGGACCUAGCGUAGUUCGGAAUUACUGGGCUUAAAGAGUUCGUAGGUGGUUGAAAAAGUUAGUGGUGAAAUCCCAGAGCUUAACUCUGGAACUGCCAUUAAAACUUUUUAGCUAGAGUAUGAUAGAGGAAAGCAGAAUUUCUAGUGUAGAGGUGAAAUUCGUAGAUAUUAGAAAGAAUACCAAUUGCGAAGGCAGCUUUCUGGAUCAUUACUGACACUGAGGAACGAAAGCAUGGGUAGCGAAGAGGAUUAGAUACCCUCGUAGUCCAUGCCGUAAACGAUGUGUGUUAGACGUUGGAAAUUUAUUUUCAGUGUCGCAGCGAAAGCGAUAAACACACCGCCUGGGGAGUACGACCGCAAGGUUAAAACUCAAAUGAAUUGACGGGGACCCGCACAAGUAGUGGAGCAUGUGGUUUAAUUCGAAGAUACGCGCAGAACCUUACCAACACUUGACAUGUUCGUCGCGACUCUAAGAGAUUAGAGUUUUCGGUUCGGCCGGACGAAACACAGGUGCUGCAUGGCUGUCGUCAGCUCGUGUCGUGAGAUGUUGGGUUAAGUCCCGCAACGAGCGCAACCCCCACUUUUAGUUGCCAUCAUUAAGUUGGGCACUCUGAAAGAACUGCCAGUGAUAAGCUGGAGGAAGGUGGGGAUGACGUCAAGUCCUCAUGGCCCUUACGUGUUGGGCUACACACGUGCUACAAUGGUAUCUACAACAGGAAGCAAGACUGCGAAGUUAAGCAAAUCCCUAAAAGAUACCUCAGUUCGGAUUGCACUCUGCAACUCGAGUGCAUGAAGCUGGAAUUACUAGUAAUCGUGGAUCAGCGUGCCACGGUGAAUGCGUUCCCGGGUCUUGUACACACCGCCC